ACAAAAUAGAGGAAGACUGGCACAGAUGUUAGCUCAUGGUCAAUCUUCCUCACCAAGAAAAAAAAACGUUUAAGAUGGAGGUUUUGGGGGGCAGCCACGGGGAAGAAGGAAGGAAAGGAGAUCCUGCCCAUGAAAGGGACACCACAGAAGCUUCUGCAUCAGGGUCAGCCCCCACCCCCAAGCUGAGACUUGGCAUUGCUGACAUGGAUGGCAGAGCCAAGAAGUGACAAAAAAACAAUGAAAUGGGGCUGCCAUCAAUGAGGAAGCAUCGUGCAAUGCCAGCACUUGAUUUGGAAAGUAUUCAUAAGGCUUUCUUGGCUAGGAUGUUUAAGAUAAAAAUAGAAAUAUUCUCAUCAAUGAUUUAUAAGAUUGCUUUAGAGAGAUGGGGCAGAACCCAGUAUAACAAAGAGCAGAAAAGCAGUGUCCUAACUUGUUACUGGGCUGGAGAUCACGGGCCCAGGGUGAGAAAGCUGUGACAGGCGCUCCUUGUCCCUAUCACAGAAAUUAGAGUUGAGAAAAGCUAUCAGUUUAGCUGGUCUGAACCUCAGAACCCCAGCCACUUUUGGAUUCUUCCAACUACAAUUUUAUUCUUCUCUGGGGUUCAUGCCUCCAGAUGCGAUACCUGAAAGUUGUGCAUGUAUUGUGGAGAAUAACAAAAAUAUUAACAAAUUAGCAGCCAAUCAGAUAGGAACAUUCUUCCAAACAGAGAGCAUCUUCUUCGGGAUUCCAUUCUUGGAAGAGGAGGCGAUGGGACCAAGGAAUGAAAUAAGAACAGAUUCAGAAAGAGAAGAAAGUGAGAGAAAACCUUCCCACAAUAAGGUAAGGUCAUUCCACAAUCGUGUGCUGAGCUUAUCAUAAGCCUACUCCUGGAUUCUGUUCAUUUUCAAUCGUGCGCAAAUUGCCUCUAUCUCCUGGACUCUCCAUCGGAAGCAUAUGGGCUGGGAGAGGAAAGUCACUCAUCUCAGACCCGCACCUCAUGCCUGUACCGCUGCCAGGCCCCAGUCCCUGCUGCUGCUGCCGCCUUGUCCUGUGUAAAGCUCUGCAGCCAAUCUUCCUGAAACCCAAAUUUUCAUCAGGUCACUGUCGUAGUGGGGAUAACCUUGUGCCUCUAUUGCCCGGUUAUAGGAUCAAGAUCCUACUCAGGUGGGCAUAUUCAAAGCUCUCCGAUCACACAAUCAGACAAGAGCUUAUGGUGUACACAGGCACUGGGGUGGAGAGGGAACAACAAGGCACAGUCGUCGUGACCUGGAGGAAUGUACAGUCUACUGAGGCUGGGGGUGCGGGAGGAAUCAACCAGUAACUAAUUAAAUCAUGACAGUCUUGCAGAUGGCUAUAAAAAGGACUGAGUAUCUUGGGAGUGUGCAAUGGGUCACCUACCUUAGUCUGUGGAGUCAGGCAACUAAGACUUCCCUGAAGCAGUGAUGCUCAAGGGGAGAUGUGAAAACUGAGUAGCAGUUAGCUAGGAAAAGAAAGGAGCGAAGAUUCCAGAGUGGGGAGCAGGCCCUGAGUGAGCGAGAUCGUGGGACUGUAGAACUUAGUGGGAGCUGGGAGAGCGAGGAUGAGACUGGUACCAGUUAGGGCCGGGGACCCAGGACAGGGGGAAGAAGAGGUGCCAGAAGACAGACUUAGAUGGGGAAGCAGAGGAAACAGGAUAGGGUAUGAGGAUCCUGGAAUCCCAGGCCAACAAGAUUGGGUUCUAUCCUGGAGGCAAUGGGAAGGCUUUGAAGGAGGGAGUUGGCAUGACCAGACCUAAGUUUUAGAAAAUUCAUCCUGUGUGCAGGGUUAAGUGCAUGUGGGUCAGAGAUGGUGAGGUCAAGGGCAAAGAGACCAGCUGGAAGACUACGGCAAUAGUGUAAGUAGGACAGAAUGAGGGCCUGGUGGGGAGGAGGCGAAGAUGUGGCAGAGCGUAGGAAGGCAGAGGGGACUGGACACGUUCAAUUGGGACCACCAGCAUUUGAUGGGGGAUUAGGCUCCUGGGCAAGAAUGUGGUGACCCUAGGAGAGUGUGAAGCAUAAAAAGAAGAAAAAUUCAAGAGUGAGACUGGGGUAAGCCCAGUAUUUAAAGACUGGACAGAGAAAGGACCCAGUCGAGAGGGCUAGUGGGAAGUAGUGGGAGAACAAAGAGAGAACAAUGCAUUUCUCGAAAGAGAAAGAAGAUAUUUCAACGAAGUGGUUAAUAGCAUUUAAACAAAGACUAAAGAAAUAGCUGCUGGAUUUGGCGAAGGAAACCACUGAUGACUUUACUAAGGAUAAUUUUGGUAGUAAAGUGGGAGAGGCAAAAGCCAGAUUUAAGCGUAUUAUAGAACAAAGGAGAAACAAAGAAGUUGAGAAAACAGGGGAAGCCACCUACUGCAGGACCUUUGGUGGGAAAAGCAAGGAGACAAGGCUGCGCCUUAAGAGAAAUGCAUGAUAGCAGGACUGUUUAAAGGAACUGGCCCAUCACUGGAGGGGGUUAGGCAGACUGGACAAACUUGAGGGAUGCCAGAGGAUGGAUUCCUCCAACAGCUGUGGGAGUAAGAGAGAUGACCUCUAAACUCCAUUCCAAAUCUGAGAUUCCAUGCCUUUCUGGAAAAUGAGACACAGCCAAACAGCCAUUUCUACCGUCUGCUUAGAAUUGGGAGCCAGACUUCAGCAUCAGGAUAUCAGGAUGAGAAGGGAGCACUCUCCCGUGUCUCUCGGACAUGAGUCAAGGAGCACAUACAUCUUCCAGAAAGGGGUAUCUGAACUGGAGGUCACGUGGCUCAGGCUAGAGAAAAGGACUCAAGAAGGAGGAAUGGCCAGGAGGUAACCGGUUGCCUCUCCCUAAGAGAACGUCAGCUCCCAGGGGAGGGAGCCAAGGAAAGAGGAUCAGGCUGAAAACAGAUUGCAUAACAGCGGGGCCAACCCACCCUCCUUCCUCUGUGCCUCUUCCCCCAGGACUGAGGCAUUGCUGCCCUAGGCUCACAGCUGACAGGGAAGCAGAGAACACGCUGUGCCUCCACUUCCCCACUACUGGUGGGCACUGGCCUUGCCAGCUGCUGCGGCAGCCUUCCUGGGAGCCAGCAUCUCCACUGCCUAUGCCACCUCAGCUCCCGGCCCAGGAACGCAGAGCAGCGAGGGGAGGAGGAAAGACAGACAGACUGAUGGCAAAAAAAGAAGCACAAGGGAGAGAGAGAGAGAAACAAAGAGAUGCUGUGAACAAUGAGGAAAUAGCCCUCUCUUACUACAGCAUGAGUGAGUGUGUGCAUGUGAGAGAGAGAGAGAGAAAGAGAGAGACCUGGGUUCUACAUCUGACACCCCCCACCCCGACCCCAGCAAAUCCCUUCACCUCUUUGGACAUUAAUUGCCGUAUGUGCAAAAUGAGACAAGUGGAUUAGAAGAUGCCUAAGGUUCCUUUCAGGUUGAAAAUCCUGUGUUUCUCAAAUUCUGCAUCUGUAUAUAUAGAGCACCCCCAGAGGCCAAAAGCAUUAGCAACACAAAGAAAAUACAAUAAACCCCAAUGAGGAGGAUGCACUCACACGUGCGUCCCUGACAAGCACGUGCACACACACGUGCGCACACACAGGAGGGUGGGUGCUAUGUUGAGGGGUGUGCCCAUCAGUGACGAAAGCGGCUGAAGUACAUUGGAACAUUACACACAAAAUCUGUCUGAUCAGUUUCCAGUCAAGCCUCCUUUACAUACUAGUAAAUGCUAAAUCUCAACUAACCUAAAUAUUUGACAAAUGAAUCAUUUUAGAUUGUCAAGCUUUCUAAGUAGCUAAGGAUUUACUCUUCAAAUGAUCAAAACUAGUUUUGAAAGCCACCCCAGAGGGAAAUCUUUGUUUUUUCGUCUUAUAAAUGUUUGAAGCAGACUUUGAGGAAGCUGACUUCACUGUGGGUCCUCGGUGGCACUGGUGGUCUUGCUGCUGUGUCAGACACGCUGCCGCGCUGUGCCCAGGCUGGGCUCACAAAGCGACUAGGCUGCAGGACCAUCCUCCAGCGUCCCCGGGCCUGGGGAGUGGGAAACAGACCACAGAAGCCUUCUGAUCUGGGGAGCAGACAAUGAGGAAGGGCAGGUGUUACUCUGGCUGCUGCCUCGCACCUUCCUCCCACCCCAGAGCUGGACCUGAAGCACAGAACGGGGAGGGAAGAGAGAAAAGCACAUUUUCAAAGGAAGCUGAAGCUGGGGACUAGGUGGCACCUCCUGUUUGGGCAGCUCUGGGCAAACUGGGCCACCACUCAGAGAGGUAAAAGGAGAGUGGGUUUAGGCAGAAAGAUGGGUUUCAACAGAUUUCAUCAAUUCUUUCUCCCUGUCCAUCCUACCUACCUGCAGUGCAGGAGAAUUCCAGAAGCUGUCUGGCUGCAUCCUGGGGUGGGAAAUGCAGGAAGAGCACUGGAAACCAGGGUCAAUCCCGGGUCCCCCGGGUAAGGGUGACAGGUUGUAGGUGGGUGUAGGAGGUGCUGGGACCCAGGGGUUCCCUUGACCAUGACGUCCAGCUGGGAUUGGUGGGCAGAGUAGCCUGCAGCUCCCACUCUGCGGUCCCCAGAAGGGAGAGCAUGGCUACCACACCCCAAGGAGCCCAUCCAGGCGCCCUCCCACUUCGAGGUAUGUCAGGUUCCCCCUACCUCAGAUGCCAUCUUGGCUAGAGGCGAGAGGGGAAGAAAACCCUCCAGAGAUGGAGGAUUUGCCCAUAUAAGACUGGAGGAUGCCGAAAGGAGAGUGGGUGACCUUUACCAAGCACGUUUGGAGUUUUCCCCUCCCCCAGCAUGGCAAAGACUGGGCCCUGGGGCCUGGAGCAAAUGGGUAGAGGAAACAAAGGCCACUGCGUGUUCACCCCUCUCAGUGCAAAGUCCCCAAGUGCUGCUGUGGGUGGUAGCUGGCGAGGCUGGUCCUGGCCCCUCUCCUCACCUGUGCUGCCCCUGCCCGGGGGUCUCUUCCCACCCCUUCCUGAGAGGUCUCACCCCAGGGCUACAGGCCAGCCUGAGAGGAGGGCAGGGCUGCGAGAGGCCAGAAAGAUGCUGGGGCAGGGAGGGUGUCAGCACCCGGGCAGCCGGCUGGAGGCCAAGAGACAAGGCCCACCGCCUCCCUCAGAAGAGGGAAGGCUGGCUCCUUCCUGAGGCACCAGACGCCUUCAGGCCAGCCUCAGACUUAACCUGUAAGAGGUGAGGGGCCAGAGAAGGACUCAGGCACCCCCAAAACUUUUUCCCAACAAAGUCUUCUGGAUGAGAAUCUGUUUCCAAGACAAGGAUUGAAAAAUGCAAGCGGCUGUGAGGAACAUUCAGGCAAAGGGUGAGUGAGCCUGGAAGGAGGCAGGGAUUGUCCUCUGGGCAGGGCUGGGGAGGAGGAUCCGGCCUGGAGCCUGCACAGGUGUGUGGACCCAACAAAGACUGGGCCACAGGCCUCCUGUACCUCCUCCGCCAACAGCCCAAGCCCAAUGUGACUGCCAGUAAGACAGCAGCCCAGAGGACCCCCUGGUGAUGGCCUUCAGAGUCCCUCUGAGCCCUCAGGUGCCUCUGGCCUGAUGCUCAGGAGACCCCUAACUCUACUCACCACAAGCCCUAACAGGCCCCACAGCCAUUGUCAUGACAGUUCUCCAAACUAUGUGGACACGCACACACGCAUACACUCACUGACACACAGAUGCACACCAGGACAACCAGCACUCAGGAUAAGGGUCCUCACUUAGGGUCUGGACACCCUCUUUUGUCCCCAGUCAUUUAAUUAAUAGAUUCUGAAUGGUGUGAAAAUACCAACACCCUCAGGUCCUGCCAUCCCCUAGUGGUUGCAAGGGUCCUGCGUGUUCUUUCACAGCUGAAAAUUAGAUUUUUAUCAUCAUCAUAACCACCAUGAGAGCCAGGGGGAGCUGUAGAGAGAACCCAAAUGUCGACCGCACAGAUGGGUGUGGGCCCUUGUCAGGAGCAGCAAGGAUCCGGCCCAAGGAGAGAUGCUCAUGAGACUACGAGUCAAAGCUGGGAAGGGGAGACUGGAACUACGACCAAGGCUCAGCUCAUCCAGUCUGCACACAGAGAUGCUCCUGAGUCAAAAGGGCAGAGGAGGGGAGAGCAGGGAAACUCAUGCUCUGCCCAAUAGGGCCGAGGGCACCUGGCGCCCGCUCAACAGCUGUAAGGGUUCAGAGUAGCAGAGAUCAGGGCUACUGCAGUGGGAGAGGUAACUUUCCAAAAGAGGUGGCACUGAGCAGAGCCACCAAGGCGGGGCAGGACUUGUUCUGAAGAGAGCUGACAGCACAGCAUAAGGAUGAAAUAAGUGAGCCGUGGAAUCAGCCAGCCUGAUUUUGAAUUUUCGCUCUGUCACUUCCUGGGUGUGUGACCCUGGGAAAGACACCUAACCUCUCUGAUCUUUCAGUGGCCUGGUAUGUAAAAUGCCAAUGCCUCUCUAUCAGGAUGCAGAGAGGAGGAACUAAGCCUGCAAAGGGGCUGGGCUGUAGUAAGCAGCAGGUAGCCUAGGGUAAGGGUAAACAAAGGCGCAGACACGGAACCGAAGACAAGUGCAUGCAUAGGGCCAGGGGCCAGAGGAUGAGGAUGGCUGUGGACAGCCCAGAGGGCCAGGCCCCAGAACGGAGGGGCACCAAGGCUGGAUGAGGCCUGGAGGGGGCCGCCUCUGAGGCCCCGUCUCUGAAGAAGCUGCAGCCGUGGAGGUGGCAGCCCUGCCAAACAGGUUGUCAGUCCAGCCCUUCGGGGGCUUUCUUCCCAUGGUGGUGACUCUGACAGGGAAAUCAGCAGGCUAGCCAUGCGGGCCUGGGCAGCACAACAGACAAGGCCCUAGGGACAGCUUAAGUGGACAAUAAUUGCAGGUUAUUAUAUACCGGGCUGCAGCCAAAGCCAGGCAGCUAUUAAGUGUGAUUGGGAGAAAUAAUCAAGAGGAGGAGGAUGGAUGUGAGAACUGGGUUGCUCCUUCUGUUCUCAGGGCUGCUCUGAGGCUGUGCAGGGGCUGUGCAGAGGCAAGGAUGGGGUACAUAGGGAGAGGAGCCGAUCUACACUCUAAACACCCUACAUUCCAGGCACAAUUCCUUCUGAUCCUCCCCAGUCCCCACAGGUUGUACAGAGCAAGGAUUACCAUCCCCAUCUCAUGAAUCAGAGAAUGAAGUCCAGAGAGGGGAAGCGGGUGACCCAAGGGCACACAGCGAGUCUCUCCUGAGUCCGGUCUGAGACCAAAUUGAGCCCUCUCUGUUGUUGGUGGCCACAGAAGUGACUCCUGGCACAAAACCCCAUCAGGACCUGGCUCUGCCCUCAGUGGGGGUCAUCUCCAAACCAGGACUGGGAGCAGUCAUUAAAACCCAGAAGGGGCACAGAUCCCACCGUGUGGACACCAGCUCAUGGGUCAGGACAAGGGCAAGAGACCAGGAAACAGAGGAGGGGGCAGGUUUGUAACAAUACGAUUGGUUAUUUCUUAGAGCUUUAUAUAGUCAUUAGAGACCUCUCUAGGACAGAAGGAGAAUUUUAUGCCCAUUUUAUAGAUGAGGAUACAGAAACCAAGACUUGUUUCAGGCUUGGUGGUGAUGCCAUCAAUAGGAGGGCCCAUGUGGAAACUGCUGGUCUAGGGGCUUGUAGACACACCCCACAUCUAUCUAUUGGAGAUGACCUUGGCAAAGGUGACCCUUACUCUGCUCUCUGCCGUGAAGCCAGGAGAACUUGUGGUUUUAUCCCUGCUAGCCGGAGUUUCUCACUUCAUCAGUACCAGAGGUGGUUCUUCUCUUUCUGGGCCAAGGAUGGCAUGAGGUUGAGCCCCAAGGGGUGACAUUGCCCUUGUAUGAUGUGUGGAUCACAUAACUUCCUACCGCCCACUCCUCGGCUCCUCCAAGCCCACCACUCAUUUUCGAAACAAGGAUGAGGCACCCUCGUCCUUGAAGCACAAACACCUUGAGCAUCUUCAAGGAGAUUCCCAGCGACCAAACCACCCCCUUCAUGAUCUCCUGGAGGCAAUUUUACAGGGAGAGCCCUACUCUGAUGGGGACACCAAUGGAGGCCAGGAAGGGAACAUAUAUGUCUACCACUGACUCCUGCACACACCGCACCCCAGCAGACGUCAAGGAAAGUCAUACACAAGGCUCAGGGCCACCCUCAAGGUUCUGUCAGCCUGCCCCUCCCUCCUGGGAUUGCCUCUCCCAGCCAGGCCUCCCCAGUCUGGGUCUGGAAAUGACCCUGCUUUGGGUCACAUGAGAGCAGAAACCUGGCGCAGGGAGGGAUCAAUUACAUUGUGACUCAGCGAGAGGGCACAGAGCCAGGCAGUGAGUCACAGAGCUCGCCCACCCUUCCCCUUCCCCGGGAGGGGCUGCGCCAUGCAGACCUGUGUGGGAGCCUCCCCUGGGUCUGGGCGUGCAGAUGUAUGGGUGCAGGCCCCCCAACAGUGGGAAGGCGAUGGUCGGUGUGCGCUACGGUGUGGACCCCUUCCUAAUCCUGAAUGCAGGAAUUUAUUACCUCUUCAUGACGAUCACAGGCAAUGUUAUCAUGCCCAUGUUUCGGAUGACGAAGCUGAGGCUCUCAGAGCAGGACUCCUAUGGCCAGCUUCGUAGCCACCGCCUCCUGGUCAAGCUCUUGUCAGCAUCCAGCUCCUGGGUGAGUGAGCAGGAGGGGUCCACUCAAGGAGGUGAGUCUGAGGCCCCCAGAUAACACCUCUUUGAAGAUCUAGCCUAGUGUAAAUGUCCUGCAGUCUCAUCGUCUUGAGCCCCUGUCCAGUUGGGUUCUUCCUGUCCCAUCCAGCCACCUCAUUCCUUCAUGUCACCUGCACAGCCUGUGGACACUGAGUUUCUUAACCCCAGCACGAUCUGAAGGAUUGCGUGUUAGACUGAGGAGGUCUGGCAGCGGCAGCUGGGAAAAUUAAAACUAGAGAGCCCUGUAGAAGCUGUGGAUCCAGCAUCAUUAUCAGCGAAAUUGUGGCUGUGAUAAAGCAACGUUUACCUACAGCAUUGUGUGUGU